UGGAAACUUAUGUCUUCCUGUUUCUUCUGUGGGAAUGGUCAUGAAUAAUCAAAAACCGGGUGCUGUAGCCUUACAGUCCAUCUCCAGAACAAACUCUCCGUUGAUUACCAAUCAGUCAAACUUGACUGCCUCUGGGCAAAUGCCAAAUGUAAAGGUUCAACCAGCUGAUCAGUCAACGAAAAUGAACUAUCAGUCCCAGCAUUCACUGGGAGAUAACCAUUUAUCUUCCUAUCAGCAUCAACAUUCUCAACAGCCACCUCAGCAGUUCCAGGAGCAACA
rnacentral:misc_RNA from 1 species